UACUUGGCUAGGAGUUACUCGGUCAGUCAGAGGUUGUUACUCACUCAGUUGGCCAGGGGUUAUUUGGUCAGUCAGGACUAAGUUACUUGGUCAGGGGUUACUCAUGUGUUAGCUGGCGGUGUGUCCAGCCAUAUAAUUGAUUUAUAAUUUCCAACAUUAUCUUUUAUCAUACACAUUUUAGAUUUGAUUUGAGACCUUUUUUUUUUAAUUAUUUAUAAUACACUUUACAUAACUAGGAAGACUCCUAAACCUACCAAACUUAUAUUUGUAUAAUUUACCUAAACCGCUAGGGUUAGGAUACUAAUUUAAUCUUGGUAGGUUUAUGUAAAUUAUACAAGUAUAAGUUUGGUAGGUUUAGGAGUCUUCCUAGUUAUGUAAAGUGUAUUAUAAAUAAAUAAUUACAAUUUAAAAGCCUAAGCUGCGCUUGAGCAAGAAGAUGAGAAUGUUGAAUGACCAAGAAAUUCACAUACCAACAGAUAUACUAAGGGACAUACUAGCAAGGCUACCGGUGAAAAGCCUACUAAGAUUCAGGUGUGUUUGUAAACUCUGGUGUUGUCUAACCGAUUCCGAAGAUUUCACCCUCAACACAAACAAUCGUAUAAGCACUGAUGUACUAGUCAUGAGAAGCGUUAAAGGACGCGAUGAAUUUAUAGUUACUGUUCGAAGCACUGAUACAUUUAUGUUAAUAAUAUUGUAUAUUAUUUAUCUUGUAUUUAUCUAGUUUAACCAAGUUUUACCUGUAAUGGGCUGAUGUCGACAUCUACGCAGCUAUCUGGCAGCAGGGUUUUGUUGAGAUUGUGGAACCCUUCGAUUCGAAAGUCCUUUAUACUACCGUCGUGUCCUUAGAGUUCUGAGCACGAGUAUCGGAUGAGGUACGUGCUGGGGUAUCCUUCUUCUGGCGGCGACAACAAUUAUAAGGUGGCUGCCAUUACAAAUGAUUGUAGUCGUGAUGGAGGUAGGUGGGAUGUGUUGAUUGCAGCAUAUUCAUUUCAAAAUCAUAGUUGGAGUUGAGAAAUAAAACGGAAGAAUAAUGUCCCCUCGAUGCCACCUCUAUCUGGUCGUGUUUUCUCUCGAGGGGCUUGGUCCUUUGAUUUUGAUUCUGAGGACUUUAGCUGUGUGGAGUUUCCGGAUUUCACUGACACAAGGAGUAGUAGUGUAUGGAUGUAUUUUCGUUCUUGGCGAGUCAAUAGCUGUUUUCCGUUUGUCUUCCAUAUGGGUUUUGGAUAAGGAUAAUAGACAAGAGCCGUCGUCGUGGAGGCCAUGGCUUUCAAGAGAUGCAAAUUGUGGGGAAUUGUCUACACUGAGGUCUUGGAUGAAUGGUCGUUGUUCAAAGAUCUUCUAUACUCAUUUAUCAUAAACCACCGUCAAAAAUUGCUUUAUUACAAGUUUUUUUUUUCUUAUCAUCAAAUUGAAACUUUGAGAUGCUUAGUUCGUAAUAAUAUAACUUUAUAUAAUCAUGCAGAGAGCUUGGUGUUGCACAAAGGAACUCAAGGUCAGACUUUGACAUGAUCGACCAAACAGAUUUGUAGGCCGUGGCCAAGAUCACAGUUAAAAUUUAUGCAUGUCAGCUUUGCCACUUUCAUUUAAUUUACAUGAGAAUAUAAUAACAAUAUGGAUGCAAUCGGAGAUGUAUCAAGUACAAAACAAACGAAAAGAAAAUCAGAUCACAAAGUGAUGUUUAACCUGUCCGUCUGGUGAUGCACUUUCAAUCCUAUCCUGCAUUUGUCAUAUUGGUCUUCUUGUGGUAGUUUGAGGCCUGUAGUUGUACAAUUUUAAGCUUUUCAAACUCUUAACUCUUCCUAAAAAGCUGGGCAAUGCUAAAUUGCUAAUUACAGGCUAGCUUAUUUUCUGAUCUCUACCUUUUCCUGUAGGUAUUAAAUUACUCAAGUUUCUCUAAUUAAUUAUAGGAAAUUAUACAAUUGAUUUGA